ensembl:misc_RNA
GUUUGUGUCUCUGAGGACUGGGCUGUUUAUCAGGGCUGAUCAGAGCGGAGGGAGCGGCGCUGUGCGCUUCCCGGCGCUGCCCUGCCAGCCAGCCCCAGCCCUGACCUGGAGGGACCAUCCCUGGGCGUGAGAAGGCGGCUCAGGCUCCACACCUCUGAAACCUUUGGCAUCU